rnacentral:rRNA from 1 species
CCUACGGGUGGCAGCAGUGAGGAAUAUUGGUCAAUGGCCGCGAGCCUGAACCAGCCAAGUCGCGUGAAGGAAGACUGCCCUACGGGUUGUAAACUUCUUUUGUCAGGGAGCAAGGUGAAGGUCGGGACCUUUUGUGAGAGUACUUGAAGAAAAAGCAUCGGCUAACUCCGUGCCAGCAGCCGCGGUAAUACGGAGGAUGCGAGCGUUAUCCGGAUUUAUUGGGUUUAAAGGGUGCGCAGGGGGUGGCAAAAGUCAGCGGUAAAAUUGCGGGGCUCAACCCCACUUCGCAGUUGAAACUGGGUGCCUUGAGUGCGCGAAGGGUAGGCGGAAUGCGUGGUGUAGCGGUGAAAUGCUUAGAUAUCACGAAGAACUCCGAUUGCGAAGGCAGCCUAC